rnacentral:rRNA from 1 species
UGCCAGACUCCUACGGGAGGCAGCAGUGGGGAAUAUUGCACAAUGGGGGAAACCCUGAUGCAGCGACGCCGCGUGAGCGAUGAAGUAUUUCGGUAUGUAAAGCUCUAUCAGCAGGGAAGAAAAUGACGGUACCUGACUAAGAAGCCCCGGCUAACUACGUGCCAGCAGCCGCGGUAAUACGUAGGGGGCAAGCGUUAUCCGGAUUUACUGGGUGUAAAGGGAGCGUAGACGGCAAUGCAAGCCAGAUGUGAAAGCCCGGGGCUCAACCCCGGGACUGCAUUUGGAACUGUGUAGCUGGAGUGUCGGAGAGGCAGGCGGAAUUCCUAGUGUAGCGGUGAAAUGCGUAGAUAUUAGGAGGAACACCAGUGGCGAAGGCGGCCUGCUGGACGAUGACUGACGUUGAGGCUCGAAAGCGUGGGGAGCAAACAGGAUUAGAUACCCUAGUACA